rnacentral:lncRNA from 1 species
GGGAUUUUUAUCCUUUCAAUAAGCUGCCGAAUGGGCAAGAAAAAUGUGUGUUUUAUGGCUUGAUUUUGACGAGAAAUUGGUUGGUUUUUCUGCAGAUCUUGUACUAUUUGUAACGGGAGGAGAUGAAGAAGAAAACUGGGUAUGAGAAAAAAAAUUGACAGGCAAAAACAGAAAUAAAAGUUUUUUUUCGGAACAGAUAAACAAUCAACGAUUUUUUGCUAUUAUUCUUGCAGAUCUAAAAAAUAUGAAGAAGAUAAAAACAAACGGAGCCUAAUAUACAUAAAAAAUACAGAAAUUUUGAGGGAAAAAAUACCUGAAAUGGAAGAGUGUGAUUCUCAAAUCUUCUUGCUUUUUUCAACUGUUUUUAUUUUUAGACAGAGAUGCAGAGAGGAGAACAACGGAGCCAAAGAUUAGGAAAGUGUUUUCCUUUUG